UAUGGAGCUUUCUUGACAGCGCGCAAGCGCAGCACUGUGGCUACAAUGUAGCAGGAUACAAAUCGAAUCAAUCACUAGUCUACGCGACUCCGCCCAUAAAGGAAUGAAUGAAACUGUAUAUGGGGAUACCGAUAGGACGUAUUCGUGACAUCAAGUGUUAGUCCGUUUUAACUUCAUAUCACUCAAUUGCCCUGAAGCACGUAAAAGGAAACGGGCGACAUGGACAGGCCUGUUGAACCACGACAUUUCUCAGCAUACGAAGCCCGGUUGGACAAGCACAUUGCGGGACUUUGCAGCGUGGAUUUCCCGGUAGCUGUGGUUCUUCCAGCUGGUGGCAGUGGAGAAAGAACGGGGCUACUGACACCCAAACAGUUCUGUACGUUUCUCAACAGACCUCUGAUAAGCUACACAAUUCAAACUUUCGAGAGUGUGCCAUGGAUCCAAACCAUCGUUGUGGUGGUUGCCAAGGAGAGCUUAGAUUUGAUGAUGGACAUUAUCCAUCGCUUCCACCACAGAAAUGUCCUAGUGGUACAUGGCGGAUCUACUCGCCACAGAUCUAUAUUCAAUGGGGUCCGUGCCCUCAGUGAGGGAGAGGAUGGUACGGCCCGCGUCAAACCAAAGGUGGUCAUCAUCCAUGAUGCAGUGCGGCCCUUUGUGGAAGAGGACUUCCUCCUCAAGAUAACAAUGGCUGCCAAAGAACAAGGGGCUGCUGGGGCUAUCCGACCUCUGGUUUCCACAGUGAUUGCUACCACAUUGGAGGGCUACCUGGACCAUUCUCUGGAGAGAACCAUGUACAGAGCCAGUGAGAUGCCCCAGGGAUUCAUCUAUGAUGUCAUCUACCAGGCUUAUCAAAGGUGCAGUGAGUCGGACUUUGAGUUUGGCACCGAGUGCCUUCAUCUGGCUCUGCAGUACUGUGGCACCAAUGCUAAACUCAUCGAGGGCCCGCCAACCCUGUGGAAGGUGACCUACAAACGAGAUCUGGCUGCAGCGGAGUCCAUUGUCAAAGAGACUCUCUCCCAGUCGGCCUGUGUUGUCACAGGUGGCUCUGCACAGGCUAUAGAGCUGGCCAACGCUCUGCAGAGGAGCAUGAGCGCUUUGGACAUGGAGGUGGAUGUGAUCUCAGACUUGAUAGGAGACAAUGCCAAAUCUCUGUCAAAAGAGUGGAACUUUAUUCAAGUUUCUGUCAACAGUUCUUGCUUUUCUGAAGUUGGAAAAAUGCUGAGUGCGUUGGAGGAGGCAGACCGAGCACUCCUGCAUCCAGUGGUCAUUAUUUGGGUUUAUUUGAACGUGUCGGAGGACGGUUCGUCCGCCAGCGAGCCGAUGGGAGGAGAGCCGGCGGCCAUGAUGGAGCUCGCCGCAGGAGCCAAGCUCGGAAAUAUUUUAGUCUAUGGCAUCCAGCUUCAUCACUCAAAGGAAGCUACACUUUGGGGGCGGUCAGUGGAGAAGGUGGCCCAGAUGUCAUGUGCUCUGAUCCGGGACAGAAGCCCCGCCCUUACAGGACAGCUGCUCCAGGCGUGAGCCAACCCGGGAAGAGCAGAUCACUUCGUCCAGCCUCGCCUUGGACCACCUUUAUCACUACCCACCUACUGCUUGGCCACAAGGUUAUAGAAAAGAUCAGAAGCUCUGAACUAUCCGUUCAGACCCCAGUCCUACCUACCUACAGGUUAUGGAACAUUUGCUCUUUUAGUAUUUCCCCAAUAGGUUUCCUGAAGGAAAAAAGACUCCACUUCUAUGUAAAAGAUAAUAAAACUACAGUAAAUACUACAGUAAUGUCUGCAAAAACACUACAGUAAAUACUAUAGUAUACUACAGUCUGCAAAAACACAACAGUAAAUACUACAAUCUUCAAAAACACUUGCAUUAAUUACUAUAGUAUAUACUACACUUUUUUUUAAGAUGGUAUUUAUAUUAUAGUUAGCUAUAAAUGCUACAGAUUACUAUAGUAAACACAGUCUGCAAAAACACUAUACUUAUUACUAUAGUAUAUAUACCAUAGCAUACUAUAGUUUUUUAAAUGUGGGAUGGUCUCUAGAUCACUGGAUAAAGGUGCUGCUGAAUGGAGGAGAGGAGUUGACUACUGUAUACAUGUGUGAUUUUGUACUGCCAUGUUUGAGUGGAGGUAUAAAAUGUUUAAAUGUUAUUAAAAGAUUGCUUUCAUUAAAA